rnacentral:lncRNA from 1 species
AGCAGAGAGCUGAGCAGAGAGCUGAGCACAGGGCUGGGCACAGGGCUGGGCAAAGAGCAGGGCACAGAGCUGAGCAGUGCUGGGCACAGAGCUGGGUAAAGAUCAGGGCACAGAGGUGGGCACAGGGCUGAGCACAGGGCUGGGCACAGGGCUGGGCAUAGAACUGAACACAGGGCUGGGCACAGGGCUGGGCAUAGAACUGAACACAGGGCUGGGCACAGGGCUGGGCACUGGGCACAGGGCUGAGCGCAGCGUUGCUUUCUGCCCGCAGUACGUGACGGUGAAGCCGAACCAGAAGCAGCUGCUGCGGGGGCUGUUUGUCCCCGAGUGCCCGGGCUGCGGCACCCCACAGCUGGAGCAGGCUGUGGGCAUCGUGGGGGCCGUCAUCAUGCCCCACAACAUGUACCUGCACUCCGCGCUCGUCAAGGUGAGCCGUGCAAUAGGGGGCAGCGCAGUAAGGAGCAGCACAGUGAGCAGUGCAGUAAGGAGCAGUGCAGUAAGCAGUGCAAUAAGGAGCAGUGCAGUAAGGAGCAGUGCAGUGAGCAGUGCAAUGAGCAGCAGUGCAAUAAGGAGCAGCAGCGCAGUGAGCAGCAGUGCAGUGAGCAGUGCAAUGAGCAGCAGUGCAGUGAGCAGCCGUGCAAUGAGCAGCCGUGCAAUGAGCAGCCAUGGGCUGCAGCAGGGAUGGGAGCUCGCAGCUGUGAGCUCUGCAGGUCAGCACUGUGUGCAGCCUUUCCCCAUGGCAGUGGGGUCCGUGCAAGCAAAGCUGCAGCUGCACCAGGCAGCAGCCGCAUGCAUGGGGGCAGGGCUCCCUGUGCACCCCCACACUUUGCACCCCCAACUCUGUGCACCCCCAACUCUGUGCACACCAUCACUCUGCACCUCCCUGUGUGCACCCCCACUCUGUGCACCCCCCCACUUUGCACCCACACUCUGUGCACCCCCCACUUUGCACCCUCACA